rnacentral:rRNA from 1 species
GACAGAGGGUGCGAACGUUGUUCGGAAUUACUGGGCGUAAAGCGCGUGUAGGUUGCCCGGCAAGUCGGAUGUGAAAGCCCUCGGCUCAACCGGGGAAGUGCAUCCGAAACUACCAGGCUAGAGUGCCGGAGAGGGAAGUGGAAUUCCCGGUGUAGAGGUGAAAUUCGUAGAUAUCGGGAGGAACACCAGCGGCGAAGGCGGCUUCCUGGACGAGCACUGACACUGAGACGCGACAGCGUGGGGAGCAAACAGG